rnacentral:rRNA from 1 species
AGUGAACGCUGGCGGUAGGCCUAACACAUGCAAGUCGAACGGCAGCACAGUAAGAGCUUGCUCUUACGGGUGGCGAGUGGCGGACGGGUGAGGAAUACAUCGGAAUCUACUUUUUCGUGGGGGAUACGUAGGGAAACUUACGCUAAUACCGCAUACGACCUACGGGUGAAAGCAGGGGAUCUUCGGACCUUGCGCGAUUGAAUGAGCCGAUGUCGGAUUAGCUAGUUGGCGGGGUAAAGGCCCACCAAGGCGACGAUCCGUAGCUGGUCUGAGAGGAUGAUCAGCCACACUGGAACUGAGACACGGUCCAGACUCCUACGGGAGGCAGCAGUGGGGAAUAUUGGACAAUGGGCGCAAGCCUGAUCCAGCCAUACCGCGUGGGUGAAGAAGGCCUUCGGGUUGUAAAGCCCUUUUGUUGGGAAGGAAAAGCAGCAGGUUAAUACCCCGCUGUUCUGACGGUACCCAAAGAAUAAGCACCGGCUAACUUCGUG